UACGUAGGGUCCGAGCGUUGUCCGGAAUUAUUGGGCGUAAAGGGCGCGUAGGCGGCCACCGCAAGUCGACUGUGAAAUCUCCGGGCUUAACCCGGAAAGGUCAGCCGAUACUGCGGGGCUAGAGUGCAGAAGGGGCAACUGGAAUUCUCGGUGUAGCGGUGAAAUGCGUAGAUAUCGAGAGGAACACCUGCGGCGAAGGCGGGUUGCUGGGCUGACACUGACGCUGAGGCGCGAAAGCUAGGGGAGCGAACGGG
rnacentral:rRNA from 1 species